AUACGGAGGAUCCUAGUGUUAUCCGGAUUUAUUGGGUUUAAAGGGAGCGUAGGCGGGAGGUCAAGUCAGCUGUGAAAUGUAUCUGCUUAACGGGUACACUGCAGUUGAAACUGGUUUUCUUGAGUGCGUAAGAGGCAGGCGGAAUUCGUUGUGUAGCGGUGAAAUGCUUAGAUAUGACGAGGAACUCCUAUUGCGAAGGCAGCUUGCUGGGUCGUUACUGACGCUGAUGCUCGAAGGUGCGGGGAUCAAACAGGAUUAGAUACCCUGGUAGUCCGCACAGUAAACUAUGGAUACUCUCUGCCGGCGAUACAUUGUCGGUGGCCAAGCGAAAGCGUUAAGUAUCCCACCUGGGGAGUACGUUCGCAAGAAUGAA
rnacentral:rRNA from 1 species